rnacentral:rRNA from 1 species
AGUGAACGCUGGCGGUAGGCCUAACACAUGCAAGUCGAACGGCAGCACAGUAAGAGCUUGCUCUUACGGGUGGCGAGUGGCGGACGGGUGAGGAAUACAUCGGAAUCUACUUUUUCGUGGGGGAUAACGUAGGGAAACUUACGCUAAUACCGCAUACGACCUACGGGUGAAAGCAGGGGAUCUUCGGACCUUGCGCGAUUGAAUGAGCCGAUGUCGGAUUAGCUAGUUGGCGGGGUAAAGGCCCACCAAGGCGACGAUCCGUAGCUGGUCUGAGAGGAUGAACCGGCAAACUUGAACUGGGAAAAGGUUCCGACUCCCACGGGAGGCAGCAGUGGGGAAUAUUGGACAAUGGGCGCAAGCCUGAUCCAGCCAUACCGCGUGGGUGAAGAAGGCCUUCGGGUUGUAAAGCCCUUUUGUUGGGAAAGAAAAGCAGCAGGUUAAUACCCCGCUGUUCUGACGGUACCCAAAGAAUAAGCACCGGCUAACUUCGUG